AGCUUGCUAUUUGCAGCUGCCAUGAACUGCAGCCCAGCCAUGCCUGCCUGCCCUGGAGCCAACUGAGUGUGGACUGAGACCUCCAAAAACUGUAAGAAAUAAACCUUUCCUUUCCCAAAUUUGGGCUUCAGGUAUUUUGACUCAGCGAUGAGCAUAAAGUAACUAAGACAGAAUUUGGUACCAAGGAGUGGGGUCAUGUGCUGUGACUAUACCUGACCAUGUUUUUCGAGAGGCUUUGGAAUUCGAUUGUGGGUGGAGUUUAGAAAGGUUUGGACACAUCGCCUGGAUGUGUAGAGCUGGAGCAGCUUAAGCUGUUCUGUACAGAAGAUUCUGGUCAGAGCUCAGGAGACCAGAAGGCUGAUAAAAAGCCUCAUGGUAAAGAGCAGGCUUUGGAGGAUUCUGCUGGGAAGGACUGCAUUGGCUGUUGGACUCCACAUGAUGUGUGUUAUGGCUUGGCAGAAAGUUUGUCUACAUUUUGCUCCUGCCCAGAGACUUUGCCUGAGACUGAGACAAAGGGCAAUGGACUGAUUAAUCUUGAAAAAGUAAUUAAAAAGCAAUCAAACAUUGAGGCUGUCCCAUGGCUAUUGUUGAGGGCUUUCAGUCAGCUUUAUGUUUCGAAUCAAGAGCAAAGAGCCCAGGAGGAUAAUUUCCACUACUGUGAGUUUGGCCAGAAGGAAAAUUCCAAGAAGGCUGUGGAUUGUAAAGACAGAGUUGAGAUUUUGAUUCCUGAGGGGAAACAGAGAGAUAAAAAAGAUGGCCCUGGGGCAUCCCAGGAAGCAGGUCCAAACCAUGUGCAGCCUCACAGCAAAGCUGAAAGAAUUUGCUCAGAGGAGAAAGCUGCAGAGUGCCAUGUUCCAGAAUGGCGACAGAGGCCACAUGAGGUUCCAGAAUGGUGGCAAAACAGUGAAGCUUUUCAUCACAAUCAGGAAAACAGGCCCUGAAAUCCUGACCCCUACAGCCAAGAAGCAGAAUAGCCUGUCUGCUGCUUCAGCUAGCAGCUAACCUUGGCGGCAUUCACAAGGUGCUGAUUUUAGGUGCAAGGAAAAUGCACAAAUUCUGAGGGUAAGAUGGCUUCCACCUCGAUUGCAAAGGGGCUGGGCGGCCACGCAGUGUGUCCCUGAGAGAGCAAUUUGAGAAGAUGUUAAGGUGAAGCCCAAGGUGCAGUGGAAACCCCAGAAGUUUAGAAAAGCCAGGAAAGUGGAUGAUCCAAGGAAAGCUGCAAAAAGUGAGCAGAGAAGAUUUAAGAGAGAAGCUGCAGGAGCUGAUAUCCCGGGAAGUGCCAUGGGGGUGGAAUCACCCAAGCCUUUUGGAGCUUGCAACCAGAUUGCUUCAGAUGCUGAGCAUGGAACUCUAGGACUUAAUGUUUGCCCUUCUGGAUGUUGGACUUGCUUUGUGUCCAAUGCUUUCUAUUUCACUGUUUGUAAUUUUGUAAUGGUAAUUUUUAUAUUGUGCCUUUGCAUUUCAGAAAUGUUUAACCUUGUUUCAUUUGUACAGGGGUUGCAGUUAAGAGUUUGCCAUAGAUCUCAGAGGAGAUUUUGGACUUGGACUUUUCAGCAAUGCUGAAGCUGUUAGGACUUUGGCAACUCUUGGAGGUGGACUAAGUGUCUUUUGUAUAGAGGAUGUACAUGACUCCUGGGGGCCAGGGGUGGAAUGUCAUGGUUUAUGUCUGUGUCCCCCAGGCCUCAUGAGUUUGAAUUGUGCAUUUGUUAUUCGUUCAUUGUCUAGUGCUUGGAUAGAUGGUAUCAGUGCUCCACCCACAAAGGGGUGGAGCCAGGAUGUGGUAUAAUGGCAGGAAGAAGGUGUGUCUUGCUCUUUGCUAGUUCCAGCUUGCUGUUUGCAACCGCCAUGAAUUGCAGCCCAGCCAUCCCUGCCUGCCUUGGAGUCAACUGAGUUUGGACUGAAACCUCCAAAAACUGUAAGAAAUAAAUCUUUCCUUUCCCAAAUUUGGGCUUCAGGUGUGUUGACUCAGCGACAACCAUAAAGUAACUAAGAAAGCAAAGGAAACAACAGAGUGAAGAGGCAAUAAAAAAAUGUGGAAACAUUUUAUUCCCAGCUACAAUUGAGAGAGAGGACUGAUAUUUAGAAUAUAUAAAGAACACAAAAAUUAGAUAUCAAAUAAAAGACUGUUAUGGGUGAUACAUUUUGUCAACUUGAGUAGUUUAGAAUUUUAACUGAUUCAGCAGGGAGCCAGGAUCUUGUUGUUAAUAUUCGCAUCCUACACAGAUUUCCUGAGUGCUACAUGCUCCUACUGGAGGGAAGGGGUGGCCAGUGUACAGUAUAAAGGAGGAGAAGAAGCUUCUGUCCCUACUUUUUCCUAAGACUGCUGCCUUGAAGUGUUGCCUCUGUGCCAUGACACCCUGCUAUGGAGCCAGCUGUUUAUGGAUUGAAACCUCCAGAAAUGCCCCCCUCCAGGAACUCCUGGGUGCUGAAUGGUGUCUGGGCAUGAGCCAUGAGUGUCUCCACUCUGCAGAAUGGACCCCUCCUUGCAUGGAUUUGAUGGCACCACAAGACUCUUGGUGAGAAAAGGGAGAGAGAUAGCAUUAAAAUAAAGUAGCACCGCUGACCUGUGGACUGGUGUGAAGCCAUGUAACACAGAUGUAACUGGACACCUCAGAAAGGGGCUCAGAAGCUUUUGCAGAUUCAAUAGCUAAAAUAUUUCAGAUCUAAUACAAACUAGGAGCCCAUGGGAUCCUGACUUGUAUGACUGUGUUCAGGGCCUCAGAACUGGCCCAAGUUUUGAAGUUGGGCAAGAAAUUGUGAUUUUCAUAGAAUGCCAUGCUGUUCCCUCAAGGAAGCAUGAGACACAGGUACACUGCAUGGCAGAGAGGAGUGAUGAACUGGGUCUUGUGUGCUUCCCAAAGCGUCCUGUGCUGUGGACCUGUGCAAGCCACACCCCAGGAACAGGGGAACUCACAGACAGAAAGUAGGAGCUGAGAGGAGUGAAGGGAGAGGAGGGGCAGCUCCAUGGGCUGUGGGCUCUAUAUUGGGUCACAGAUUUUCCUCAACAGCACUGAAGUUGCAAUAAGAACAGUAAACUGAAGUACUGAUGACCUAUAAACUCCUGACCCCAAGAGGAGGUGCCCACGUCCCCGCAAUGAAGCAGGACCCCACCAGGGCAGGGAAGCCCUGGUUGUCCGGGGUCAGACAUCACCCCCUGGUGACAUAUUCCCAUCAGGCUCAGGGAUGGCAUGUCCCUGUGCAGGACUCAGGCUGAGCUGCAGCCUCUCACAUCCUCUGAGUCUUGGCCAGGUGUCUGCAUGUCACAGUGGAAGUCCUUCUGCACUGAGCACCUUCCAGAUGAGCUGAUCCCAAACCACCUCUGGGAGGUGAGGUCACCACCAUCUUCCUACUGUGAUUUUGAAGGCCAGGAUGGCACAUGCCCUAGGUGGCCACGAGUAAAGGUCACUUACGUCUUACCUGUAAACCAGGCAUGCCAUGUACAGCACAGAGAGGGCCCAGGGUGGGUCGAGGAGCUGUGGUCUGAAGCAGAGGGGAAGGCAGCAAGAACAGCUCAGCCAUGCUGACUGGGAGCCUGUGCAGGAGUUGCUGACUCUUCCUGAGAUGGGAGAGCCUGGAGCAGAGUGGGAAGCAACACAGGCCCAGCCCGGAAGUGAGGCCUUGCUCUGCAUGAAGCCGUAAGGCACAUCUCCUGCCUCCUCCUAACUAACUCACCCAGCUGUCAGUGCCCCCUGGCUUCUACAGUCCACCCAGGUGGGGAGAGGAGCAGCCAUGGGUCCUGUCUUCCCCUCUAUACUGGUGAGCAGGAAACACUUGCACCCCGAGUUUCCUUCUCCCCACCCCCUGCCCUGAUUACCCUGUGGGCCCCAGGGAGGAUCCAGGCCAUCCUGUCUGUGCCACCACAGUGGCCUCUCCCUGCCCUACUCCAGGCUCUGCUGCCCACACUGCUCAUCAUUCUAUCUUCUGAGGCUUCUGUUGUUCCCAUUCUCACCAGCCAGAGCCUCUGCAGGGCUCCAUCUUCCUGCAUCCACACAGCUUCUGUGAUGUCAGAGUAGUGUAGCAUCAGCAGAGCUCCCCACCUUCCCCUGUGAACAGAAGGACAGACACAGACAGGCAGACAGACACACAGACUCACAGACAACAGGCCCUCUCUGAGUCACUGCCACACUUGUGCCUUCUCACCGUGGCUCCCUGGCAUAAGGGGAGCUGGAAAGCACCAUCCUGCCCUCCACCUGUGCUGUGGGAAGAGAACUUCAGGUGGCAGCCUGAUCCACUGCACAUGAGCUCAGACCUUUUGCAAGGUCCUAGGGGAAACCCACACUCCCGCAGAGAACACCCAUGGGCUCCCUGCAGGGCCUGAGGCUCCUGCCCCAGAGUCAUCAGAGGUUUCCAGGUGUGCAUUCCUCCUGCCUGUCGUCCCCACCUGGUAGAGCUCUGCAGAAACCAAGAAAGUGUUCAUGUUUAAAGCUUUUCUGACUCCUUAAAGAUAAAACUCAAUCCUACAGGGGACACCACCUGGUGAUUGAGUUCUCUGUGCUCCUCUUCAUGGAGGAAGCUCUGACCCCACCCUGGUCCUGCUCUGGCCUCAGCCUCUGUCCCUUACUGUCUGCAGAUUUGCCCUGACCCAGUUCAUUGCACUCCAUCUGCUACUGCAUCCUGUCACCCCCUUGCUAUUUCUGUGCCCCUUCUGUGAAGCACCCAUCAUCUGACAUCAGGGGUCUGAGUCCUGGGAGAUCUGGAAAAGAAGGGUUCAGCUUCACCAACAACUCACACCUGGCACUGUGACUAUGCAUGGUGAGUGCCUGGUUGGCAAGGCUGGGUGACAAGGAUGAUGGCAGGAGGACACGAUGGCAGUCACAGGAGGUCUGCAAGAGGAAGGACUUGUUUGCCCCAGCUCAUAAGCUUGUCUUCCCCAGCUGUCUCCAGUGAGCUGACAGUCAGGACUGAGUGCAUCUCUGCUUUCGUCCACCUGCAGCAGGAUGGGCUGAGGGAGGGAGGAGACUCUUGGGAGGCUCUGAGAGGAAGGAGCAGCCCUGGGCACCAGCUCCUGGAGGGGAUAGUUUUGGAUGGCUCCAGCGGUACUUCCUGUUGUGUGCUGGCCUCAGGGAGGUGAGGCCAGAUCAUGUAGACACCCGGAUGGGGUAGACAGUGGAUGGGGAAGGGGAAUCCCAAUUUCUGUAUGAAGAGAACCUAACUACCACCCUGCCUCAGUUUGGGAGAUCCACAGCCAGACUCAGGGCAGGCAGUUCCUUUCCCUGUACAGAGCUGUUGUGAAAGCCCUGUGACUCAGGGACCCAGCACUGAAGUAUCCAUAUCAUGUGUGUGUUGCCUGCCAGGCACUGUAGUCUCCUCUAGCUACCUAGUGACAGGAGCCCUACUACAAAAAUCCCUAAGAGGAGGUUGGGUCACAACAUUUACAGAGCUUGAAACCUCAACAUGACAGUCAUGGAAAACUGCAGAGAAGGACAAGAGGAAAGGGGUGGCAGGAAUCUGCCCCUCACUCUGGCUCAUCCUCUCUCCAGAGCUGUCUGGGAAGCCCUCCCACCUGAACCAGCAUGGCCCUGUCCUGGACCCUAGAUAAAACUUGACCCUCCAGUGUUGCUUUGACAUUGGCUAUGGCAGAUUCUCUCUGUCCAAGGAAGGGCCAGAUGACCCCUCUAGCACCUUGGCUGACAGCCCCAGGCUGGGAACUCUCAGGCCGACUUCCCUCCUAGGCCCUUGGAGUGGAUCUCAUGGGGAAUGCUACAGAUGCUAUGGUGGACACAGCCUCUCCUCUGCAUGGACUGCAUCCAGUGACCCCCUGGACAUCUUGAUCACAGAUGAGGACCCUAGGGCUCAGUCAGAGACCCGCACUCUACACUGGCCCUGAUGUGGGAGUCCAAGAGGAUCACACAGUGGAGAACCUGGUAUGCAUGGGCAUGACUGGUCUGGUCCUGUUGGGUGUCAGGAUUCUGUUAUGAGACCCUCGACAAAGCCAGAGAAGCCCUUGAGAUGGAGCCAACAGAUCAACAUGAGAGACAGAAGACAAUGCAUCUUCUGAAGAGCAGAGGACUGGGAGUUAAUCCAAUGUUUCCAGGAGAUUCUGGAAAGGUCCUGGGGUUGUAAGUUGGGGACUGUCAGCUGAGAGGAAUAAAAUCACUGCUGGUUGGGGAAAAUGGCUGGGAGGGGCUGUGAAAGAUUCUUCCUCCAGUAUUCUGUGACUCUUUCUCUCCCUCCUGGUCCUGAGGUUCCCCGACUGUCCCUUCUUUUCUCACCCCCAACACAGGAGGGCCCAGUACAAGGUCAGGGUGGUCACCAUGAAUUAUUUUGCAUCAUGGUCCAGGCCUCUUCUAUGUAAUUCAUUUCAUUUUGAUCCAUGCAUGCCUUGAUAUGCAUUAGUUCAUCUGUCUACACAGCUGUGAAAAUGUCUGCAUUAACUGAAUAAGUGUGAAAAGUAAUCUAAGUGUAAUAUGCUGGUGCUGCAUCCUCUGAGAACCUUAGUUCACUCUCCAUCGAAUGCCACCUUAUGGUUUCUAGAGAAAUGUCAUAUUUUGGAAUCAAUACCCCACUAAUUAAUGUGUCAGCUGGAUGUCACACUGGGGAACCAGGUCUGCAAAGACAAAUUUUUAGCCAGGUGCAGGCAACGGCACCAUAAUCUAGCACUCUGGGAGACGGAGGCUGGAGGGUUGCAAGUUCAAGCCCAGCCUGAAUGAUUUAGCAAUUUACAAUAAACUUGUCUCAAAGUAAGCAAGAAAAAUGGGCUCUGGCUGUAGCUCAGUGUGAACAUUCUGGGUUGAUUCCCAGGACUACAAGAACAAAACCAUCUUCACAAGCCCAAGCUUAUAGCAUUUGCCCAAGACUGUGAUGUAAACACUCCCUUCCUAGGCACAUGGGGAUAAUAGUGUACCCUGCUACAGAGCUGACCUCAGAGCCAAUCUAAGUAAUAAAUUGGGGUAUGUGGAGCACAAGGUGAGAGUACGAAUUCCUUAAGGCAGUGUGUCUUCUUUCUACUUGGACUCGUGGCCCUUUAGGCUCUCUUUUAAUCUCUAACCAUGCGUCCCAGAAGUUUUCUGUUUGUAGCACCAAAAGUUCCCUACCUCUGCAUAUCCAUCUCUCACAUGAGUCUAUUCAGCCCCCCAUACACUGCCCAUUUAUUGUUUUGUGCACAGAUGGGAGGAAGUGAAUUGGACUUGGUGGAGAAAGGUCAUCAUGUCUUUAGCACACAGCAGCCACUGAGGGCUCUUAGGGAGGGAAUUCUUCAGCUAAACAGUACCAUUACUGAGGUGGAAAAGGCAUCCAGCAUGGCCACAUCCCUUCCAUAAAACUAAAGGGCCAGAAGGGGAGGGACAGUAAGGCUCCACCGGUAGAAGGGGCUUCACUAGGACAGAGGAGGCUGAGGCAACCCCACGUGACUAUGUCUGGGGUGAGGAUCCUCAACACAAAUCCCACACUUCUUGUGAGUCCAUCUUCUCCUCCUCUGGAUUAUGGUGUUUUGAUCAUAUGUACAGUUUUCCCUUAGUAUUUUUGAAAUGUUUUAAAUUAUUAUGGAGCAGUUUUCAUUUAUCAUUUUUGGAAUACUUUAAGUUAUUAUGAGCAUAUAAAAGUUUGCUUUGUUGAAUUAUGUAAGAUCCACAGUUCUCUUUUCUCAGAACCAGUUCUAUUCAUUUUGUGAGUUAGUUUUUCUUUUUAUGAGUCAUUUGGAGUGCAUGAAGUUUACAGUCACCGUGGGGAACAGUACAUGCACAUAAUAUGACUGGUUUCUCUUUCAUUUCUUCCACCCUCAAUCUUUCCUCAUUAAUUACCCUUCCCCCAUUUGUUAUGGAUUAAGAAUUGGUGGUCAACUUAACAUCAGCUGAAUUAAAUCAGCAUGGUGCUGAGUGUAGAUGGCCCCCCUGAGGAAAGUUGCCAGCAUAAAAGGAGAGGUGUCAAAGAACAGUGAGGCAUUGUGGGUUCUCCUAAGUAUUGCUGUUAUUUGGAGUCACUGGUUCUCCUGGAGAAGCUUGUCAUGCUGCCUUCCCCAAUAUGAACUUAGCUGUUAUCAUUGGAGGAGAAUGGGACUUUAUUCCUGAGAAUGAUUGCAGGUCACUUUGGUGGAGUUUUGGUCCUUAUUUUAAGCAUUGCUUCCUGGCUCUGGAUGGAAAGAUGUGUGCUAUUUAAUCUCUAGGAGAAGUUGUCAAGCUGCUUCCUGAAAUUCUGUUUUUGGGCUAAGAGUGAGGAAUAGGAAGAGGCCUUAGAAUCACCUAGGGGACAGAGAAUAUUCUGGACCCAUCUUCUGACUUCCUUAUAGGGACCCUACCCAAACCCAUGCUUUGGCCUGAAGUGGGUUCUUUGAUACCAAAGGGGAGACAUGUGAGCUCCCUGCUGUCAGGGUGCUGGAGCCUGGAAGUUCAAUCUUCACAGAGAAGGGAAAUCAAGGGCCUUAUUGAGACCACUAUAUAGGACAAUAUCAUUCUACACUACUAAUAAAGCAGCAUGAGAAGAAACCAGGAAAACAACUGCCUUCACAAAAGCUCCCAAUACUGUUUUCCGGGUGGUGAAGUCCAGGAGGAAAAACAAAAGGCCAAUUCACCCUUCCCAUGAGCCAGCAGCAGUCAUGCAUGGCCUGGGAAGAUAAACCACAAGCCAGGGUGGUGAAGUCCAGGAGGAAAAACAAAAGGCCAAUUCACCCUUCCCAUGAGCCAGCAGCAGUCAUGCAUGGCCUGGGAAGAUAAACCACAAGCCAGUUCACCCCUCCCAUGAACCAGCUGUAGACAGUUGGGACCUAGAAGGAGAAUCAAGAAGCCAAUUCUCCCUGCCUAGGAGUGAGUGGCAGCCAGAGGGUGCCUAGGAGGAGAAACAACAGGCCUAUUUACCCUUCUUGUGAGCCAGUGGCAGGGAAGUGGGGCCCAGGGGGAAAAACAAUGGGUGAUUUGACCUUCUCUUGAAGCAAUGGCAGCCAUGCAGGGUCUAGGUGGAGAAACAAGAUGCCAGUUUGCCCUUCCCACAUGCCAGCCAGUGUGUGGGCUGGGAGACAAUAACCACCAAUCCCCAAACCACAACUCUUCACCUCCAUACUGCUUCAUCCUGCCAUAAAUAAUCAACUGAUUCAGAGAAACACAGGCUGAGAUCAUAGCACCUAAGGUACAAAAUAAACUUAAUGCUUCUAUUGUUUGAUUGAUUUAGCAGCCCUAAAACUGGUAGUCUGGGCAUCUUCUUAGAGAAUAACAAUAAGCAAUGUGGCAAUUGUGAGGGCCUCCCUUCUGUCUUGUUUUUGAAAUCCAAUAUUGUUCUUACUGCUUUGGUUUGUUCCACUUGAUUGUUUUGUUUUCUUCAAUUUUCAGCUUUGAUUCAUUUUAUUCUGUUCUGUUUUGUUUGAUUUUAUUAUGUCUAAUGGGCAGCACUUUUGAAGAUAGCAAGAGGCAUUAUAGUAGCUAUUGUUGAUUUCCUAUUAUCCUGUUUUGAAAUCCUGUGUCACUUUCACUGUUUUGUUUUG